GAUGAACGCUGGCGGUGUGCCUAACACAUGCAAGUCGAGCGGAAGCACGAGAAGAUCGCUCCCUUGCUGUUAGCGGCUGACGGGCGAGUAACGCGUGGAUCACCUUCUUCUUUUUCGUGGAUGAUAACGGGAAACAGCUGACACUACUAGCUCAUACUUUCUACCGCAUGGUUCAAAAGUGCUAGACGGUUUUCCCGUUACUUAUAGCCGGAUCCGCGUUGGAUUAGCUAGUUGGUAAGGUAACGGCAUACCAAGGCAACGAUGCAUAGCCGAUCUGAGAGGGUGAUCAGCCACACUGGAACUGAGACACGGUCCAGACUCCUACGGGAGGCAGCAGUAGGGAAUCUUCGACAAUGGGCGAAAGCCUGACGGAGCAACGCCGCGUGGGUGAUGAAGGUCUUCGGGUCGUAAAGCUCUUUUAUUAGGAAAGAACAGAAGCGGAUGUAACCGUGGACGUCUUGACGGUACCUAAACAGAAAGCCACGGCUAACUACGUG
rnacentral:rRNA from 1 species